rnacentral:rRNA from 1 species
CCUACGAGAGGCAGCAGUGAGGAAUAUUUGUCAAUGGACGAGAGUCUGAACCCGCCAAGUAGCGUGAAGGCUGACUGCCCUAUGGGUUGUAAACUUCUUUUAUCAAGGAAUAAAACGAGGCACGUGUUCCUUUUUGCAUUUACUUUAUGAAUAAGGAUCGGCUAACUCCGUUCCAGCAGCCGCGGUAAUACGGAGGAUCCUAUCGUUAUCCGGAUUUAUUGGGUUUAAGGGGAGCGUAGAUGGGUUGUUAAGUCAGUUGUGAAAGUUUGCGGCUCAACCGUAAAAUUGCAAUUGAUACUGGCAGUCGUGAGUACAGUUGAGGUAGGCGGAAUUCGUGGUGUAGCGGUGAAAUGCUUAGAUAUCACGAAGAACCCCGAUUGCGAAGGCAGCUUACUAAACUGUGACUGACAUUGAUGCUCGAAAGUGUGGGUAUCAAACAGGAUUAGAUACCCCAGUAGUC